rnacentral:lncRNA from 1 species
GUCUUUUUGGUCCAACAUUAUUGGAGGCCCCAGGAAGAUAUCAGAUCUUGAAGACAAACUGAGGGUGACUUGCCUCACUCCUGGGCCACCCCAGGUCAAGAUAGGCUGGGGAGGCCUCCCUGUUGUCUUGUUUAGGGCCUGGAGAGAUUGCCACUCAUGGAAUGGGAUCUGAGGAGGCCCUCAACGGACUGAGAUAAGUUUGUCAGGAAGAUUCCUCUAGAGGAGGAAUCAGAAGAGGAAGAAGAGGAGUCACGGGACGGUAUGACGGAGGCACCCGCGUUGUGCUGUUGUCUUAAACAGGAUGAGGCUAAAGAGAGAAAACAAGACCAGAAGGCCUCAGUAUGUUGAGAAGGUGUGCAAAAGGUCACCGAUGAGUUGUUCUCCAGUUACCGGAUCUGCGAAAGACCCCCUGUCUGAGGCUGAUUUUUUCCUGAUGGAUGGGAGCAGCUUCAUGGAAAAUGAGGCACACUAUGCUGGCUAUGCAGUGACAACUCAAGAUGAAAUGGUCCAAGCAGGACCCUCCCCAGCACACGGUCAGCUCAGUGAGCAGAGCUAUGGACACUCAAACAGGCUCUACCAUGGGCGAAAAACGACAACAACAAAAAAAUAAAAACAAAAAUAGGG